rfam:Triticum aestivum genome assembly, contig: Triticum_aestivum_CS42_TGACv1_scaffold_290729_4AL
AUUGUACUCCCUCCGUCCGGAAAUACUUGUCAUCAAAAUGAAUAAAAGGGGAUGUAUCUAGAUGUAUUUUAGUUCUAGAUACAUCCCUUUUUAUCCAUUUUGAUGACAAGUAUUUUCGGACGGAGGGAGUAGAAC